AAUCACUCUGACCCUGUCAUACUCAGUGGGCAUAACAUAGAAGCUGAAAUGGAAGAAACGGGGCCUAUUUACUGAAUCGUCUUGCUGAGCUCUGUAUAAUUUUAUAACCCCUUUCCAUAAAGACAACACAGUUGACUUGGAUUGAUACGGACAUUUCUUAAGUGCUGUCCUUCUCCUGGAUCCCUGAUUAGUGCCUUUGUCACCAGUGAUCCAGCACCAAAGACUACACACAGCAUUGCUGGUGAAGAGGCCACACUGAAAAGAGAGUAGCCAGUUCCAGACAGCACUACUCUAGACUACCUCAAGGUGAAUGAUAAAAGAUUUAGGAACAUUUUUCUUUAUUUUGGGACGCAUCCUCCGUGGAGAGCCUUCUGACCCAUGAGCAGCCGAGAUCAAGAUGCCAUAUGGCUCCCUAUCCUUUUAAUCAAUGAGCUGCAGCGCCGCAGGGGCAGGACAGUCACUGGCUAGAACACCAAAGUCACCGCCCAGCUUUGACUGUCAAAUGAAGCUUUUUAUGUAUCGGAUCCCCAGGGGGGAAAGAGCUGCUGAAAGCCAGGCUGCGCCAAGAGAGAAGAAGAAUUUUGAAAUUUCCAACGCCCCCUUCAUAUAUCAUUCAUUUCUAAUCGUAUUGGAUUCUUAUUAGAACACGAAGCCUGUAAAAGUUCUGCUCUUCAUAUUUUCUUGAGCUCUUUCUUUGCAGCCGAGUACAAGAUGCAUUCGUGUUGUGUGUCUUUCCGUCCCUGAAUGUCAAGUUCUCUAACUGUUAAAGCAGGGAGGCCGAGUGCAGUCUCCGGCUCUUCCGUGUCUGUAUUUAUUCUCUGCCUUCUGGAUCUCACUGCUUUGAAAGAAAUAUCCCAGACCCCUUUGAAUUUUAUUCAUUCUUUUGGAAUACUGAAUAUUCUUUUUGAAUUUAACUUCAUUUUUUAUCAAAGCAAUAUUCUCUUGUAGUUAAAUUGCUCUCCGAUGCUUAAAACAACAAGAAGAAACAAAAUACCCCCCGAAAUACCAACCACAAAGUCCCCUGUCCCAUGUCUUCGCUUCUUCAAGUCCUCAUUCCCCAGGGCCAACUGCUUUCAUCUCUUUUUGCUUUAUGUUUUUGCUGGUUACCUCUGAGUUUUAAAAUUGUAUUUAACUUUGGCUUUUAAAAAUAUAAAUGUUAUCAUUGAACAUGUCAUUUGAUAAAUGACUUUGGAAAGAAAAUGAAAUAAAUACCCAUUUCCAACCUAUCAUGUUUAUUAUUAACUAAGGGGAGGGGUUU